rnacentral:rRNA from 1 species
GAGUUUGAUUCUGGCUCAGAACGAACGCUGGCGGCGCGUCUUAAGCAUGCAAGUCGAACGGUAAGGGAGAGCUUGCUCUCCCCUAGAGUGGCGGACUGGUGAGUAACGCGUAGGUGACCUACCCUGAAGAUGGGGACAGCUAGUAGAAAUAUUAGAUAAUACCGAAUAAGCUCAUUUGCAUAAAGGCAGAUGAGGAAAGGAGCUACGGCUCCGCUUUAGGAUGGGCCUGCGUCCCAUUAGCUAAGUUGGUGAGGUAAAGGCUUACCAAGGCAACGAUGGGUAUCCGGCCUGAGAGGGUGAACGGACACAUUGGGACUGAGAUACGGCCCAAACUCCUACGGGAGGCAGCAGCUAAGAAUCUUCCGCAAUGGACGAAAGUCUGACGGAGCGACGCCGUGUGAAUGAAGAAGGCUGAAAAGUUGUAAAAUUCUUUUGCAGAUGAAGAAUAAGGAUAGGAGGGAAUGCCUAUCUGA